rnacentral:rRNA from 1 species
GGAUUAGUGGCGAACGGGUGAGUAACACGUGGGCAAUCUGCCCUUCACUCUGGGACAAGCCCUGGAAACGGGGUCUAAUACCGGAUAACACUCUGUCCCGCAUGGGACGGGGUUGAAAGCUCCGGCGGUGAAGGAUGAGCCCGCGGCCUAUCAGCUUGUUGGUGGGGUAAUGGCCUACCAAGGCGACGACGGGUAGCCGGCCUGAGAGGGCGACCGGCCACACUGGGACUGAGACACGGCCCAGACUCCUACGGGAGGCAGCAGUGGGGAAUAUUGCACAAUGGGCGAAAGCCUGAUGCAGCGACGCCGCGUGAGGGAUGACGGCCUUCGGGUUGUAAACCUCUUUCAGCAGGGAAGAAGCGAAAGUGACGGUACCUGCAGAAGAAGCGCCGGCUAACUACGUGCCAGCAGCCGCGGUAAUACGUAGGGCGCAAGCGUUGUCCGGAAUUAUUGGGCGUAAAGAGCUCGUAGGCGGCUUGUCACGUCGGAUGUGAAAGCCCGGGGCUUAACCCCGGGUCUGCAUUCGAUACGGGCUAGCUAGAGUGUGGUAGGGGAGAUCGGAAUUCCUGGUGUAGCGGUGAAAUGCGCAGAUAUCAGGAGGAACACCGGUGGCGAAGGCGGAUCUCUGGGCCAUUACUGACGCUGAGGAGC